rnacentral:ncRNA from 1 species
AUUGCCAGAAUUUUUGCGAUAUAGGGGAUCAGUGGUAAAUUCAGGAUCAACAACACCAGAUUGCCGAUAUACAUCGAAAUGAUCACCGACCAGAAAAUCUGGGGUUCAUCCGUCAUUAAUCGUGGGCC